AGCAGCGAGCGCAGGCAGGCGGAGCGGCAGCCCCAGUAGCACGAGGAGGUGUUGCAGCAGUGGCAGAUGUGCAGCGAGCUGCUCUCGCCGGGCUCGCUGCCGUCGCCGCCGCCGCAGCCGCCUCCCCCGGGCUCCCCGUCCUCCUCGCCGCUGCCCACCGCCUCGUCCAGGUUGUGCAGCUGGGCGAAGCCCACCCCCACGCCACCGCCAUCGGAUUUCGCCGCCAUCUUGACUCUCUUCCCAGCUCCGGAGGUGAAAGACUGUUUCUUUGCUGGAGUUGAAACAACACCUUGGGGGCUGGAGAAAUGGCUCACAGGUUAAGAGCACUGGCUGCUCCUCCAGAGGACCUUGGUUCCCUUCUCAACACCCACAUGGCAACUCACAACUGUCUCUAAUCCAAGUUUCAGGGGACCUGGCAUCCUCAUGCAGACAUAAAUGCACAUAAAAAUAAAUCUUUUCAAAAAGAAAAAAGGAACAGCAGUGAAAUAACAUCUUAAACCAUGGGUUGCACACAGUUGCUCAGACAUGAAUUCUUGUUCCAUUAAAGUGUGGUACCAAAAGGCUCCUUCAUAAUCAGUUCUACACAAUGAGUUCUCCUGAAUCACACCCUAUGCCGUCUACCCACUGAUGCCAACCCCAAAGGACAUCAUAUCACAGCACUAGUUAUAGGAAGGACCCUGUUACAUUGCAGUAACGGCACACAUCUAGGACACAUCGUGUAAAUCCUAGUAUGAGGAUGGGCCUCAGCACGACACCACUGAUGGGCUUUUGAGCCUCUGGAAGCUUCUUAACUCUAAGUGUGCAUCAUCCUUAUGCUUCUAUUUUACUAACUUUUGUAGAAAUAGAACCUCCUUUAGAACUGCAAAGCAAAUUCAUAGAACCUGUUAUUUUGAUAUUUGAUGUUAAGAAUUGAAGUGUUGGGCUGAAGAGAUGACUCCAUGGUUAAGAGCACUUGCUCUUUCAGAAGACCCAAAUUUCAUUCCCAGAACCUAUACCAGGUAGUUCACAACCACCUGUAACUCCUGAUCCAGGAAGUCAGGUGCCUGCUUCUAGCUUCUGUAGGCACCUGCACACAUGUGACAUACACUCAUACAGACAUGCACGCGCACACACACACACAAAUAGUAUUCAAGUAUUGUUACUGGUGGUAUAAAAUGGUAUAAUCUCUACAGAGGAGAAUUAGACCCUACCUGCCAAAUUACAGGUGGAAUUACCCUCUGAAACAAUAACCUUCUUAUGGAAGUUUAUCCUAUAGAUAAGUAUGCUAGUCAGAAAGUACAAAUAGGGCUAAAGAUAUGGCUCAACAGUUAAAAAGCACUGGAUGCUCUCCCACAUGACCUGGGUUCAAUUCCCAGUACCACAUGGUAGCUCACAACUACCUCUAACCCCAAUUCCAGGGGGUCUGCUGGCCUCUAAGGGCUUGAGGCAUACAUAUGUUACACAGAUAAUACAUGCUGACAAAACAUCCAUACAUAUAAGAAAUUCGUUACAUUAUUUGCUUCUUUAGUUAUUUAUAAUUUAUUCUUUUCUCCUACACUACACCCUGCCCACAGCAUCCCCUCCCUACCUUCAUGCCAGUCAUUCCACAUCACGCUUUAGUUUUAGAUUUCUUCAUAUGAUAUAUUUUGGUCACAUUCCUUCCCUUCCCCCCAAGUCCUCCCUAAUCCUUCCCACCUCUCUACCUAUCCAACCUCAUUUUCUUUCUUUUAAUUAAAAAACAAAACAACAAACAACAAUAACAACAAAAAUACUACCAAAUUAUAACCAAACAUGCACACAUAACCUAUCUACUUUCAGAUUCUUGGACACAUUAGCAUUGUCAAAUAUGAGUCCCAUCUCAUGAAAUGGUUGGUUAGAGCCAUAUUAUUUAUGCCUCUGUUACUGCAAUAUAUUACAGAUAUAUAUGUAGACAAAACACCCAUGCACAUAAGAAAAACUUUUUAACAAAGUACAUGUGUAUUCAUAUAACUCAGUUCUUCAUGCAGCAUGUUUCAAAUAGCAAGGAAAUAUGGAGAGGUAAAAAGACCCAAAUGUCAAUUCUAGGGGAACUACUAGAUUCAUUUUGUUGUAUUUGUAUGACAGAAUGUGAUGUGGUGAUGUUGAAAAUGUCAGUCUUUUUUUUUUAAGUUAUGUAAAAUGAGUUGUGUGAUGUUAUGUUAUACAAGAAGAGCAAAGUGCAAUACAAUAGAACAUGCUUCAUUCUCAGUAAGACUGUAGAAGUACCUUUAUUAUCUGUUCCUGUUUGCUCUUUUCUAUAUAAAGCAAUUUGAAGAAAGUGCUCAAGAAAGUAAUUAAAACAAUUUCUUAAAGAGUAGUGUUAUAGGUGUGGCAAAGCUGUGUAUAUGGGAGCUGGAAUAUACAGACAAUAUAUAUACAGACAAUAAAAUUGGAAGAUACUGGGCCUGCUGGGUCACAGAGGAGGAUAGGACAGCAGGGGCCAGCCCUAAGAGGCCAUUGUUGAUAGUAAACACAUUGAGGAAACUGUAAAGGCAUUAUCUCUAAGAACUCCUAAAUUGCCGGGCGUGGUGGUGCAUGCCUUUAAUCCCAGCACUCGGGAGGUAGAGGCAGG
rnacentral:lncRNA from 1 species